rnacentral:tmRNA from 1 species
GGGGCUGUUUUGGUAUUGACAGCAGGACAGCAGGUAAGCAAGCAUGCCGGGCCACGCACAGCAACCCUUAAUCUGCGGUGCAAACCUUUAAAUGGCGAAGCUAAUUACGCGCUCGCUGCCUAACCGAAUAACAGUAGGUUAGGCUAUAUCCCGACUCAAGGAGCCGGGACGGGCUGUCUCUCCGUUGCAACGUCCCGCCGCGGCGGAUCAAGAGGCACAUCAAAAGCGGGAAUAGUCCGGUUAACUCCCCUGACACCGGACGAAAAUUAAGGGGAUAAGGCACAGGUCGGUUGCCUUUUACCAGCCUUUGCCCGACAAUUAAUACAAGGCUAAGCAUGUAGAAACCUUAUGGGCUGCUUGUUUGGACCCGGGUUCGACUCCCGGCAGCUCCACAA